rnacentral:misc_RNA from 1 species
GAUGAAGAACGUAGCGAAAUGCGAUAAGUAGUGUGAAUUGCAGAAUUCAGUGAAUCAUCGAAUCUUUGAACGCACAUUGCGCCCUUUGGCAUUCCGAAGGGCAUGCCUGUUCGAGCGUCAUUUAUCAACCCUCAAGCCCGGCUUGCGAUUGGGUCCCGCCGUGGGCGACCACGGCGGACCCGAAAGGUAAUGGCGGUGCCCGUGGGGCCCUGGACGCAGCGAGCUUCUCGGCACGCGUCCCGGCGGUCCCCGGCGCCGUCUCCACCAAUCCACCACGCAGAUUGACCUCGGAUCAGGUAGGGAUACCCGCUGAACUUAAGCAUAUCAAUAAGCGGAGGA